AUUUUUAUUUUUAUAAUCUUUAUCUUUAUCGUCCGUCAUGGUUGUUUUGCAAAAAAGCCCCUCGGUUUACAGGAAAUCAACCCGCAGCCCUGUUUUAGUGGCACCCAAAGAAAACGUUUCACUUUUACAAACAAACCCUAUAGGCAUUUCAAUUCAGUCCGCAGUCCUUUCCUUCCUCUUAUCCACUCUGCGUCGGCGGCUACGCCCAUCCCGUCGUGCGCCGGCGGCCGCCGUGCCUCGCGCGGGCGGAUGGAGUGCGCUCGCCGGGAGGAUGGACGGCGCGGAGAGGCGCGUUCGCGCUCGAGCUCCUGUGCGCGCGCCUCGCGCCUCCUUGCACCGCUCCGGCGGCCACUCGCCACCCGCCGUCGCCGGCGACCACAAGCAGCAACCGUUGUGGCCGCUGCCGGUGUGGAGCGCAUCGAGGCCCGCCUCGCCCCCCUCCUCCGCGGAGACUCAGAAGCCAGCGGUCACCAAAACUUCUGCUCCCAAGGCCCCCUUUUCCAUCCGCCGUCACCGCGCUCCGAGCGUGAAAUCCUCCGCUUCAGGCUGCCGUCAGAGGAGCCGCCUCCGGAGAGGAACGACGGGGCUUGGAUGAGCAUGUGGAAGGUGCGGACCUGCACGAGGCGCUGACCAAGACGCGGUUGUUCUUAUCCGUUGCCUACUUCCUCAGCAACUCCCUCGCCAUCGAGGAAAACUAUGGUUCCCGGAUGAAAAAGACGCGCAUAAAAGUUGCAAAUUUUGAAUAGCAAUUCCUAUGUAUAUAUGAAUGUGCUAAUGGAGGGCUGUGUUGCAGGACUGAUUGGAGGCAACCAAAUCUUGGAGAAUGAUGGAAGAUAAUGGACUCCAGCUUUUAGGAAUGUUAUAUAAGGAUCCAAUUUCAAGCUUUGGACUGUUCCAUAAAUUUGCUGUUGAGAAUCAGGAGCCUCCUAGGUGAUCAUUGCAUAGGUCUACUGGAAAUUGGUGCCAGAGGAGCUCUCGAUGAAGUUCCUACGAGAACCAAAAUCAAUUCUAGAUGCAUCAGAUAUAUCAAUGGAGGAAGCAUGGUUCCCAGGUGCAGUGCUAACAUUGCUGAAUGUUGUCUGCUACCAUAGCCUUCCUAAAACAGGACAACACAAUUAUUAUCUGGAGGGACGAGGGAUCUGAUGAUUAUCCAGUGAACUGUAUGUCUUUGUAGGACCUUCGCACUCAACUGAUGUAUGCAUCUGUUAUCAAACUGAGAGUAGGAGGUAUGCAUAAACCUUUAAUUUUGGGAGACAUAACCACUCUUCGAAUCUUAGCCAGAUUCUUCCAUCUCUAGGAUUUAACUUUCUGUGAAAAGAAUUUCAUGAACACGCAAAGAUUGCCAACUAAACUUUGUACAAAAAAGGUAGACGUGAUAAAUCUAUUUAUCUCUCGCCGAACUACUCUGAAUUUUAUGGUACCUGGUGAAGAUUAAGAAAAUAGUUAUGCCCUGCUAUAUUUAGUGAUAAAUAAGAUACCAAAUGUGACUAAAUAGUUCUGCUUAAGCAUAUGUACCUGCACUCUUUUCAUAUGGUAUUGUCAAAACUUCGGCUGAGAAUAUAUUAAUAGUUGUUUCAAAAUGUUUCCUGUUCAGUCAAGACCUUUGGGACAUUACCAAACGCUAUUGGACAAGAAGAUUGAUGGUUUUCAGCAAGUAAGAUAAUAGUUCAAGUAUCGAAGGGACGUACGACUUUUGGUGCAUUGUUAGGAAAAUUGUAUUGAGUGUAUUUCACGUUUCUGCUCUGUCUCCAUUUUGCUAUGUCCUUGAAGUUCUUAUGUCACUUGCUAUUUUGAGUGCCCACUAUCAUCUGAACAUGAAGUAACAUGAGAAGUCAAAGUUUUGUGCAUGCCUUUUCUUUAAUAUGUUCAGAUUUAUAGCUCAUGAGAGUAAUGCUUAAGAUUGAUAUUUUAGAUACCAUUUUUGUAUUUAAAGUGCAGGCCGAAUUUCUUACUCCUAUAACUAAACCAAUAUGCUAGCUACUUUGUGUCAGGCGUACUUUUUGGUUUCAUUCAUGGUGCAGGUUAGCUGGUUAUUUACAAGUGUGUGGAGCAUCCAAAAUUCAAGUAAGAACACCAUGCUUCCUUGGUGUGUCCAUAAAUAUAUCUCCAUGCUGGAGCUGUCAGAUGAGUACGGAUCAAAUGAAGAAUGACAAAAACGCCCAGGACUAUUUCAAACUGUUUUAUUUUUCCUACAUUCAGCCAACCGGAGUAUCCUGCUCUCCCUUCUAUAGGUUCUACUCCCUCCGUUCCUAAAUAUAAGUCUUUAGAGAGAUUCCACUAUGGACCACAUACGCUGUAUGUG